rnacentral:rRNA from 1 species
UUAAUUGAAGAGUUUGAUCAUGGCUCAGAUUGAACGCUGGCGGCAGGCCUAACACAUGCAAGUCGAGCGGUAACAGAGAGUAGCUUGCUACUUUGCUGACGAGCGGCGGAC